AUAAAAGGGACUGCAGUACAAACGCAUAGCUAAAUAAAUAUGUUGUAAAAACUGUGCAGCAUUGUAGGGACUUUUCCUGCCUUGAAACAAAGGAAGAGAGAAUAAGAGGCUAAUUUUGUCCUCUUUAGGCUCCAUGAUACAAGGGAAUGCAGUACAAACGCAAGUCUCAACAGUAGAGAGUCAAAACCAUCCAGCACUCAGUGACCCCAUCGCGCUGGUCAGUAGAGGACCCGAGGCCAUCAGACGCAGCGGAACCUUUCUGGGUCGUAAGGUGAUAGUCCGGGGGACGUAAAUAGCCAGACGACGCGAGGAGGAAAGUGCGGGAGACUGGAAUGAAGCGACUGGAGAGUUAUGAAGGAUGAUGCCGCCGAAGUCCCGAGCGGCUUCGAGACAAGGAAGAGAAGCUCCGCGACUCACUUGAGCCAGUCAGUCAGUGCUGUGACGCAAGGAGCAGCUUUCUCAGCGACGGGGAGCGGUGGACGGCGGAUGAAUACUUUGGCUCCCGCGCCUUCUUCUGCAUCAUGUCCGCCCGCUGACCCUGGUGGUGGGCGACGUGCGUCAGAGGAGUUGAAAAUGUAGGGGACUCGCUGCUGUGCCCUGCGUGUAGCUGUGAGGUGAAGUGCAGACGGCUGCAUUGUCUCAGCCUCGGAGGUGCCACUUGUUCAAAUUACGAAUGGUUUAAUGUUAUUUUUUGCAGGCUGUGGAAUAUUGCAGUAUCUUAUAACAAGACAAAUGAUAUAAAAAAGCAUGUAAUUUACCGAUAAGCAUUACACAACAACAUUAUUGCGGUGAUAAAAUGUACUCCUGUAAAAUGCUACGUGGCAUCGUCUCUCAGCUGUUUUCAAGGUCGCAAGGGCAGGCUACCCACCCGCCCUCCUCCCUCGCUUUGAUGAUGCCGCGUAGCAUUUUACAGAAGUACUUUUAAUCACCGCAAUAAUGUUGUCCUGUAACGCUUAUCGGUAAAUUACAUGCUUUGUAAUCCCAUUUGUCUUGUUAUAAGAUAAUGUAAUAUUAAACCAUUCGUAAUAUGACUAAGUGGCACCUCCGAGGCUGCGACAAUACAACCGUGUGUCCGUCAUUUCACAGAGCACACCCGCGAGUCCCGUACAUUUUCAAAUCCUCUGAUGGGUAAACAAAGCCUUAAAAUGCAUAUGUGCAUAGAACAUUUUCUACUUAGAAUUAAACGUUCUUUCACCUCUUUCAGUAUUUGCAGAAACUCGCGUUACACCCUGUAUAGGAAAUUAGAGACGUCGCAGUGAGCGUUUUGAUACCAGAUAGCGCCAGAAUUUUUAAUUCUCGCCGGAAAAUAAAUAUCUUUUGGGGCAAGGUUUUACAAGCUUACAAAGGUGUAUCGUUGCACAGUAAUGCGUCUGAAUUUUAAGUCAAUUAAUUUCGUGAUAACUGACAGCACAUGACAUUGUUUGAGCCUCUAUUCAUAAUUUCAGAUGAUAUUCUUAAAAGAGCCUAUAAGUGUAUCAAGGCAGGCAAUCUGUAAUUUUCUACUGACCUCAAUGGAAGUAUACUAAUAUAUACUUGCAUUUUCAUGUACUAAACAACAGGCAAAUCCAUUUAAUGUAAAGAAAAUAUAAUUUUGUAUCAGAGACUUUAUUUUUGCGGUACGAUCACUAUCCUCGGGUACUUGGGCAGCGAGCAAACCAAAACACAGGACCACGCUUACUCGACUACCCUGCACAAUGGAUACAUCACCGCCACAAUCAUGGACUACAGCGGAAUUAAGAAAAUUCCCGAAAGAACGAGCUAUACCCUAUUCUGGAUAUAGUAAAGCAAAGUAAAGGCCUUUGUAUCGGCAGAACUGAGAGGCUAUUGUUUACACUUUACACUCCUUCCUAACGGCGUGCGGCGCUUUUUUUAACUGAAGAAUCAUGAUCAAGAUAAGUACGUCGUACGUCCG